rnacentral:rRNA from 1 species
AACGAACGCUGGCGGCAUGCCUAACACAUGCAAGUCGAACGAGACCUUCGGGUCUAGUGGCGCACGGGUGCGUAACGCGUGGGAACCUGCCCUUAGGUUCGGAAUAACUCCCCGAAAGGGGUGCUAAUACCGGAUAAUGUCUUCGGACCAAAGAUUUAUCGCUUUUGGAUGGGCCCGCGUUGGAUUAGCUAGUUGGUAGGGUAAAGGCCUACCACGGCGACGAUCCAUAGCUGGUCGGAGAGGAUGAGGAGCCACACUGGGACUGAGACACGGCCCAGCCCCAUACGCCAGGCAGAGGCGGGGAGGGGGGAAAUAGGGGAUGGGGCAAAAGGCAGCACCGCCGAGUCCGGGAGGAUGGUGAAGGGCUUGGGGUUGGAAAUCGCUUUUGCCGGGGAGGGAAAGACGGUAACGGGUAAAGAAGCCCCGGGUAACCACGUG